CCAAAAAUAUUUAGUGACAUACUAACAUUAAUUAGAACUUUAUGUUUGCAUGUGGUUUGACUUAAUUUGACCAUGUUUAAUAAGUUUUCGGAAUUCAGUGAAUAAGAGUGGCCCUUGAUUUCCGGGAUCAACUCCAUGCAUCCAGAUAAAACCUUAAACGACCAUGGAUCGACCUCUGGUUCCAGAUCGAUCCAUCCAUCCCCAUCUUCGACAUUACCAAAUCACGGCCUUGACCUGAAAUCUUGGAGCACAGCUUACACGCCUGUCUCGACGCAGCUGACAUAUCACAUCAGAGGAGAAGGAACCAUCCAUAUAUGCACCCAUCAACCCGGGGCAAUCAGGCGCCGACAUUGCCGUGUCCCCUAGGGGCCUACCGCUCCCAACGUGAGGCGAGCCGCUCCUCCGUCGGCGCAUCGUACAACCCCCUGUCGUCGUCUUGGCACGCGACAGCCAGAAAAAAAAAAACCCGAUCAAGCAGCUCGGUCGCGGCCGGGCACGUACGUACUUCUCGUCAGGUCCAUUUCGGAUCUCCUAUAUAUGGGCCGUCGCCGUCGUGCCUGCGUCCCCAAAGGACAAAUCGGGCCUGGCCGUGACGUAUGGCAAGGGGCGAGCCUCGCAGAAGUAGCCCGGCCUGACAGACCCACAUCUUGUGUGCCCAGGAAGUUAAUACAACUCCCGAUAUGUACACAGGCAGAAGCAGCCGUCGUCUUCUCCCAUGCGUGUUUUCGUUUUCACGAGUCUAUUAAUUACCGCGGUCCGGCCGUACUAGUUGUCUAUACGAAGAUGACAAGCUACGAGGAAAAAAAAUCUGUGCAAUGCAAUGCCAUGAAGCGGUUCUAGAUCGGCCUCGAAC
rnacentral:lncRNA from 1 species